GUCCCUUUGGAGAUAACCGAUAAAAUUGGAAUCAUAUAAAGAAGAUUAGCAUGGCCCUGCGCAAGGAUGAUAUGCACAAAUCGAGAAAUGAUCAAAUUUUUU